GACGAACGCUGGCGGCGUGCCUAAUACAUGCAAGUAGAACGCUGAAGGAGGAGCUUGCUUCUCUGGAUGAGUUGCGAACGGGUGAGUAACGCGUAGGUAACCUGCCUUGUAGCGGGGGAUAACUAUUGGAAACGAUAGCUAAUACCGCAUAAUAGUAGAUGUUGCAUGACAUUUGCUUAAAAGGUGCAAUUGCAUCACUACCAGAUGGACCUGCGUUGUAUUAGCUAGUUGGUGAGGUAACGGCUCACCAAGGCAACGAUACAUAGCCGACCUGAGAGGGUGAGCGGCCACACUGGGACGGAGACACGGCCCAGACUCCUACGGGAGGCAGCAGUAGGGAAUCUUCGGCAAUGGACGGAAGUCUGACCGAGCAAGGCCGCGUGAGGGAAGAAGGGUGUCGGAUCGUAAAGCUCUGUUGUAAGAGAAGAACGAGUGUGAGAGUGGAAAGUUCACACUGUGACGGUAUCUUACCAGAAAGGGACGGCUAACUACGUG
rnacentral:rRNA from 1 species